AACCAAGAGGAUCAAAUUAUAUAUCUACGGUGAAAAAAUAGUUAAAUUUUAAUAAGUUUAUUGAAUAUUUAUACAAGAGUAAAAUCUAAAUAUAAAUAGAAAAUUCUAAUUAAGCUUAAAUAUUGAAGCUAUGAAAACCUUGAGGGAAACUGGGAUUAGAUACCCCAUUAUUCUUGGAUGUAAAAUAAUCAUAAUUUACCAGAGUACUAUGAACUAACAAUUUAAAACUUAAAGGGCUUGGCGGUGUUUUAGACCUCUUAGGGGAACCUGUCUCAUAAUCGACAGUCCACGCUAAACCUGACCUUUUUUU
rnacentral:rRNA from 1 species